rnacentral:misc_RNA from 1 species
GAAGAGAAAAGUGAAAAACAAAGCUGAGGAAUCUCAAUUGGAGGGGGAGGCUAUGUCUACACUUGUGGGCCAUACACAACGUGUAUCUUCUGUUGUUUGGCCAGAACGUGAAACAAUGUACUCUGCAUCAUGGGAUCAUUCUAUUAGACAUUGGGAUGUCGAGACAGGCAAAGAUUCAAUGAAAAUAUUUUGUGGGAAAGCUCUCAACUGUGUACAUGUUGGAGGUGAAGGUUCGGCUCUCAUUGCUGCAGGAGGCUCUGAUCCCAUCCUUAGGAUAUGGGAUCCACGAAAACCAGGAACUUCUGCCCCUAUUUAUCAGUUCUCUUCUCACACUUCUUGGAUUUCGGGUUGCAAGUGGCAUGAUAAAUCGUGGUUUCAUUUACUUUCUGCAUCCUAUGAUGGGAAAGUUAUGUUGUGGGAUCUAAGAACUGCGGUAUUGUAUACUCUUGCUCUUUUACUUUUAACUCUCCCUUUGGCUUUGCGUAUACCAAAUAAACAAGUAAAAGUGAUUUAGGUGCACUCAAUUGCAUUCUGUUCUGAAUAGCAUAGACCUAGUAAAAAAAGCAGAGAGAGAAGUGGUGUUCUGAAUAGUUUGUUGUUGUUGCAGUGGCCUCUGUCUGUUAUUGAAUCACAUGAGGACAAGGUGCUGUGUGCUGACUGGUGGAAAGGGGACAGCGUGGUCAGUGGUGGGGUUGACUGCAAGCUAUGCAUUUCUUCUGACAUUGGUGUUGUGUAAGGUAAGAAUUGUAAUACAUAUAAUUGGCUAUAUUUAUGUUAUAAAUUUAGUUUAAAACUGGCUUCCCAUCCCAUCCAUAGGAUCUGAUGUUUUCUCCACUCUUAUCUUCGCUUUCUCUGCAUAAGGAGUGUGACAGUAUUUGUGCCUCUGGUAUAGUUUGGAAGAGGUCAGGCUAUUAGAAGCUUUUUUUUUUCCUCCUCACUCUUAGAAAGAAAGAGUUAAAGCAUUUUACUUGUUUUCCUUUGUGUUUUGAAAAUAUUGUUUGAAACCAGUCACCUGUGGCACACAGCGAGCUUUGUGUAUGCGUAAGAUACAACAUGAUCAUUUUAGGUUUAUUAUUACAUUAUCUAUCUAUUGCUCAGUUCUUGAUGAGUGUAGUUACAAUCUCUAGAUUGAUAACUCCAGCAACUGAAUCCAUUGAUUGCAUACUGGAGUAUGCUUAUUUUUGAGACUGAAACUUUUAUAUUAGAUGACUGAAUAAUGUUUAAAUACAUUUGGGGAAUGACUAAUUCGUUACCCACCAAUGACUACAGUACCUGUGUCUUUUUCUAAAGUGGAAAAUUAUGGAGAAAGAUGGAAGCAACUUCUGGAGAACAUGGUUUUGCUACUGCAAGGAACAUUUUCUAGGUCAGCCUUGAAAACUCUAUAAUCGGCAGUGAGAUGGGAGAAACUUAAUUCUCUCUAUUAAAUAAGGAGCUGAAGCUGAUUGAAGGGCCCAAGUCAAUUUUGCUCAAGACAUUUUGUUGUAAUGUGCAUGCUGAAUAGUGGCAUUUCUUAUAUGAGUCGUUUCUGGGAGGAUACUGCAUAGAGAAAUUUUUUUAUAAAAUUAUUAUAUAUUCUGAGAGAAAAUUGAUUUGCCCUUUUCCCUCUCUUUUUACCUGACUGAAACGUAUGCCUUUCAUGAUGACGAA